AGUGCAGACAGGUUCUGAGGAGGCCAGGAUGACUGCACACUUGCUUUAAUAGCAGAGUGAAGAACAGGCAGAGGUGGAGCGUGGUCUGAGGUACAAGAAGGUGCAUGUAAGGGAUGGGGGAAUAGCACGUAGGAGCAGCAGUGACUGCAGCCACAGAACUGUGGGAGGAGAGCGAGCAAGCAGGCUAUGCUCGCCAGCAGUGUUGGUGAAGGGACUCUGCCAUCACGGGAAGCACAGUCACUUAGGAGAGGAGGUCUGCAGAGGACAGCAGCUGUCAACUCCGUGCCACCUCGCCUCUACAUAAAAGCAGCUUUGGAGCCACCAGAACUGUGGGUGUUAGGGGAUGCCGUUUAAAUGUUCUAAUGAGAAGAAGGAUACCUGGAAAAUACGGAUCAGUACCCCAAACCAAACAAUGCUACCAGGCCAAUCUAACACUUUCCAGGGUAAAGAAACAGGAAACCCUGUUCUGAUUUGAAAGCAGCACAUUCUAAGUCCUUGGGAUUUACAGAUACAUAAUUUAGCUCAAGAAAACCUCCCCACUUUGGGCAACUACAAAACAAGGUUAUUCUCAAUAAAAACAAAACAAACAAACAAAAGUA